GUGAUCAAAAUUGAGUCUAGAAGAAAAGGGGAUAUGUGGAAGAUAAAGGAACUGGAAUUAAAGAAUGAGUGAAAUGGUUCACGGUACCGGUCAUUGUGGUAUAUCUGCUUAGGACAACACAUAUUUACAGACCAACAGAGCUAGAAAGGAUCCUUGAGAGAUUAACUUCAAUCUUCUCAAUUUAAAGCUUAAAUGUGGAUAAAGGUUACUGAACCAGCCUAGGUGUCCUGUCAACAGAUGAAUGGAUAAAGAAAAUAUGGUAAAUAGAUACAAUGGAGUUUUACUCAGCUAAAAAGAAGAAUGAAGUUACGUCACUUGCAGGAAAAUGGAUGGAACUGGAAAAAACACGUUAAGUGAAACAAGCCAGUCUCAGAAAGUCCAGUCAUUAUGUUUUAUCUGUGGAAGCUAGAGAGAAAAAAGGAAAAACAAAACAAAACAACCCCUCCUCAAAAAAAGGGGAGGAGGAUGGAUUUCAUAAAAAUAGAAGGCAAAUCAGCAAAGUAGAAGAAUAGGGUUAGUGGGAGGGAGAAGAGGAGGAAAAGGUGAGGUACUGGGGGAAUGAAAUUGACCAAGUUAUGUAUGUUAUGUGCAGGUAUGAAUAUAUCAAAAUGAACCCUGUUAUAAUGUAUAAUUAUAAUGUGCCAAUAAAAAAUUAAAAAUAAAGGGAAUAUUCCCUAUAUGACUUGCCUUU